rnacentral:misc_RNA from 1 species
GUUAAAUCUUAUAUUUAAGAAUAAUUUUGUUAAUUCAAUCUACAAAAUAACAAAUAUAGAGUGGAAAAAUAAGUAGGUGGAGUGUGGCCCCCUUUUCUUUAUGGAACGAGCGUGAAGAUGGAAACCAUAAAGAUAACAAGCUGAGAAGUUACACUUUUGAAGAUGACUUGAUAGAAGUUGGGGAAAAAUACAAACAUCAAUGGCUCCACAGAAUACAUCUACUUCACUGAAAUUACAGGCAACAUAAAUGAACUAUGGCCUCCCCCGAGUGGUACUCUUGGUUUGAAUACACAUGAGACCGUCAAACAAGGACAAUUCUUGAAGCCAAUGCUUGGGAUGCUUAGUAACAAUCCUUGAUUAUUGACUAGGACAGGUAGACUUCUUCUGGCAGCAACUGGAGUAGAUUUCAACAUCUUGAGAGCUCUUUCUGCUGAGAACCUUAAAUAAUCUAAAUAGAGAUUUCUCUUCUCUGUUGAUUGUUCCCUUUCACACGCUGUACAAAUUCUUUGCUGGUGUAAAUUAUCCAAACUUGCACACUUCAACAACUUAGCAAGAUAAAGCCAGUCGGAUUCAAUCAUGUGUCUCACCUCAACAACCAUAUCGUGACUGAGUGUACAGGACCAAGGAUGAUGAUGCCAACUUUCCCCUCCCAAAUCCCAUUCACAGUAACUUCUCCCAGGAACAGCACUAACAGGAAUAUUCUUGCUCAGUUUCCAAGUGACUAAGAAUCUGUUCAUGAAAUAGCAUAUUUGCCCAGGUCCGAGUGGUUCACUUAAAGAUGUAGUUGCAUGUUCAACCUCAUCCUUUGACUCAGUCUCAGAUUCAACAUUAUCUUCUAUUCUGGCCUUGAAAUAUUUGAUUUCAUCCCUCUGCAACAGAAGAAUAUUCUUAUAGGUUGACUCACUGAUAAUAUUAAGCCUUUUGGCUUCAGUUAGGACUGAAUCAGAUGAAGAGUCCAAAAAAUACACAUCUGAUGCAUCAGGAACAAAGUGGUCUGAAUUCGAUUUUCCAUCAGAUAUAAUUUGCUCUAACUCACAUGGGACAUACCACUUCCUUUCCCCAACAGAAUGAAUGCAAGUCGGUACCAUUUUCGAAGGCAGGGGACAAUCAACAGAGCAGCAAACUAAGAUUUUGGUUCCCCUUGACCCAGUAGCUGGACAAAGGUAACACCCAGCUGCUGUAAGAGAGGUCUGCAGAAUGUCAAAUGGAGGAGAAGUAGUUAUCAAAAUAAAUUAACAAAACAAUAAAUUUGGAAGUAGAUUCUUUGAAGAUAAUUUUUUUUUUUAAAGAAACAUUUACAAAUGUGGCUUCAGUCUAAACCAUUGAAGCAUAAUGAUAAAAUAUAUAGAUUAAGAAAUUCCAUUAAUUUUUUUUGUAUUCUCUUUACUAGGAAAAUUUUCCACCAAAAGGAAUUUUUGUUUGUUGAACAGUUAUUUCCCAGUGUGUUCAGUCAAUCAGGGUUGUAGCUUGUAGGAUUGGAGAACAAGACACAAUCCUCUACAUUUUUGUGAAGUUGUCAUAUGAGUCCUAGUUCAAAUUAAAAUUGACAGAAUAGAGAAAAAGGAACCAAGGAGACACUGCUGCAAGGUCCCUUCCAUGACUUCAUGAUUGAGAUUGAGAUCUUAAACAAUUAUAUUUAUAACAAAUUAGCUAGUAUAAGUUGUAAGAGCAAGGCAUGACUGUGUCUGAACUGUUUACAAACUUCAGCAAAUUGCAACAAAGAAGAAGCCAACAUAUAAUUGCAUAGAAUUGUAAGCAAAAUACAGGUAAAAAUAGAUGUACCUUGCAUGGGAAAGUACGAAUGUAGUCCAACAACAAUUUUGAAGUACGACCUCUAACUGGCCUCUGCCUUUGAGAGACAAACUGCAAGACCAGGGCUAUGAACUUUGCCAGGCAUAAAUCCACAAUUUUUGAUGGAUUAAGAAUCUCUAAAUCAAUAAUGGCAUAUCCCUGCUGCUGUAGCAAUUGCAGGCCCCAACCACAUCAAAAGAAAAGGAAGAAGAACAGAAAUUGUUAAUCAUAUGAUAACCACUGGGAAUUGGGAAAGACAGAAAGUUAAAUCUAAAAGUAGGCAUUAAAGAUAUUGGUGUCCAAUGGUCAAGUAUUCUUACAUGCACAAUGGUCAGAGCCUGAUUUAUCAAAUUAAAACAAAAUUGGUCAACAAAGGCACGUGUUUUUCGACAGGCAGAAAUUACUGCUUGCAGUUCAGACUUGAAGGUAUCUGGAAAUAAGAGCUAGUUAUUUGAGAAUGUUAAGUUUGCGUUUGCAUUAAGGAAAGUCGAGAUGGUAAUCCCCAUAUCAGGAAAGAAUGCACACAACACCACAAUGACAUCAGCUAAGCAAAUAAAUUCAAUCUACUGUCAUUCUUUGAAAGAAAACAUCAAGAUAUUCAAAAAAUCUGAUACCUUAAAGACACAUGAUUAUACAAUAAAAUUAAAUCCUAACUAUUGUAAGUGUCACUUGUACCAACAUGAUGACAAACUUCUUAGUGACAUCCGAAUCCUAUUGCGAGCAUAUAAUAGGCUUUGAUUUGUUGGAUCAUCAACCCAGUCUUGGCCGCCCACUUGACAUACCUGGAAAAGAUUACCAACGGAUGCUAAUAUCAUUUCAAUUGUAAAACAAUAAAAUUAUAGCGGCAACAGUAUCAGUAAGAAAAAAAAAAUUUCCACAUCUUUUUCACCUACAACCUUGUACAUAUCUUCCUUAGAAAAAUGCAGGAGUGGCCGCACUAUAAGUAUGCCUUCAUUAUUUGAACCUUCAUCAUACAAAUGCUUGCUUGAGGAGAAAGUUUGGGAAGUAAAUGCCAUGCCAGCAAGUCCAAGCACACCACUAUUGCGAGAUAGUCUGAGAAUGAACAACUCGGCCUGUAUUUGCUCAGAAACCACCAUAUUUGUAGCAUCCUUAGAAAGCUUUCUAAACCAACAGGUAACACAUAAAUGCUAUGCUAUUGGGUUAGACUUCACUAUGGACUGCUAUUCAAAUGGUGAGGCAGUUGAAGCCAGGCAGAAAAAAAGUUAACACUAAUGGUGGUCCUAACCUGGUCAUCUGCGUGAUGUGCAAUUAGUAACACACCAAUUCGGUGCUGCAUGCAAAUAUUCUGUAAUUUUUGGUACCUCAUGUCUCUUGCCUCUUCUUGCAAAUGACCCUGUUUAGGCCUGCCAUCUGACCAACUACAAUAUGCAAUCUCGCAUCUGAUUCCCAUUUCAGAAACUCGGCGGGAAACAAUGCGUGCCUCCUCUUUGCUCUCUGCACGUAGUCCAUGAUCAACAACUAUUGCUAAAAGCCCAUCAAUAAAACCUCCACUUUGGCUAACAACAUGAGGACACUCAGUUUUCCAGGCAGCAGUUAGGAAACAAAGCGCCAUGCUGUCAGGGCCGCCAGAUACUCCUAUAGCAAUACGGUGAUGGCGUUUGAGACCAGCCACAGCCAUCUGCCUCGAGAAAGCCUCCUUGUACUUGGCCACGUCAAUUUGGUCUUGGGCAAGAGAAGAUUUGCAGCAAAAUGAGCGAGUUGGGGUUACAUUAGGAGGCAAGCGGAGAAGAUAACAAAGGGGAGGAGGAGACAUGAAUAUCAGCUUUUGGCAUAUUGGCGGCGAAAGUCGAACCCUUGUUAUGAAGGAGGUGGUGGUGGCUUUGCUUUGCGAUGAGAGAAUGAACCCUCGCGCCAUGUCCUACUGGAUUGGAAUGGCACAUUUGCAGAAGAAGAGUAAGCUGGUUCAAAACUCUGAACUAGUUUUAAAACCGAACCCAUAACUGAACCUGAUCGUGGCUGAUUCGUGGUUCAACCGGUCCGCCGAUUUAUUUCAACUUCAUGUUGGAUUGCAGUUCCAACUCAGCAUUUGACUUGGUAUCCUGGUUUCACUGUAUGAUUACUCUGGGGGGUCCUCCAGGCACUUAACCCAGAAACCAUGGAGAAAACGAGGACGCGAAACUCAACUUCACAGAAAAGAUAGAAUUCAGAUUCAACCUCCUCCUUUCUUCUCUCAGAUGCGGGAACUUUCCCUCCAAAUCAAACAACCAUUAACGAACUCGCUAACCCAACAGCCAUGGCCACGCUUCACCAAACCUCAACAACAUUUCCAUUCAAAUCCGCUCUUUUCAUAUCUUUCAUCUCCAUCUCUCUCUUCCAUUUUCUCACUCCCUCCCAGAAAACCCUAACCCUGUCCCACCACAACGCCACCCCAAAUAAUACCAAGAGCACCACCAAAUACAUAGUCCGUUUCACGGAGUACAGAAAGGCGGAACAUCUCCGCCAGUAUUUGGAGUCAAGAGUUAAAUGCGGCGGAUGGGAAUGGAUCGAGAGGCGAAACCCGGCCAUGAAAUAUGCCACGGAUUUUGGGGUGGUGGCGAUGGAGGAAUCCCAGAGGGAGAGAUUGAUUGGGGAGAUUGGGAGAUUGGCGAUGGUUAAGGAUGUGAACGUGGAUUUGAGCUAUGAAAGGGAUUUACUUGGCAUUAAUGGUGGUGGUGCUUUUGUUGAUGGGAAGAAACGACCUGGGAAGAUAUUCACUUCGAUGUCGUUUAACGAAGGAGAGCAUUAUGCGAUGGCGGCGACCAGUAAUUCUUCGAUUCAUUGGGGACGCCGUCUUCUGAUGCAGAAGUCACAGGUCACUUCUUUGUUUGGGGCAGAUGUCCUUUGGGCAAAAGGACACACUGGUGCUAAAGUUAGGAUGGCUAUUUUUGACACUGGAAUUCGAUCUGAUCACCCACAUUUCCGUAAUAUUAAGGAGCGCACAAACUGGACCAAUGAGGAUACUUUGAAUGACAAUCUUGGACAUGGAACUUUUGUUGCUGGUGUUAUUGCUGGUCAAGAUCUAGAGUGUCCUGGCUUUGCACCAGAUACAGAGAUUUAUGCAUUUCGUGUGUUUACAGAUGCACAGGUAUCCUACACAUCAUGGUUCCUUGAUGCAUUUAACUAUGCCAUUGCCACCAAUAUGGAUGUGCUAAAUUUGAGUAUAGGUGGACCUGAUUACUUGGAUCUCCCAUUCGUUGAGAAAGUCUGGGAACUAACAGCCAAUAAUAUCAUUAUGGUUUCGGCUAUUGGAAAUGAUGGACCACUUUACGGAACUUUAAACAAUCCAGCAGACCAAAGUGAUGUCAUUGGUGUUGGUGGCAUAGACUACAGUGAUCACAUGGCCCCAUUCUCAUCCCGUGGCAUGAGCACCUGGGAGAUUCCACAUGGCUAUGGCCGUGUGAAACCAGAUGUUGUUGCAUAUGGGCGGGAAAUCAUGGGAUCAAAGAUCAGCACUGGUUGUAAAAGCUUAUCUGGGACUAGUGUAGCAAGUCCUGUGGUUGCUGGUGUGGUAUGCCUUCUCGUCAGUGUUAUACCUGAAAGCAGUCGUAAGGAUAUUCUAAAUCCUGCAAGUAUGAAACAAGCACUCGUUGAAGGGGCUGCUAAGCUUGCUGGUCCAAACAUGUAUGAGCAAGGUGCAGGAAGAGUUGAUCUGUUAGAGUCAUAUGAGAUCCUGAAGAGCUAUCAACCUCGGGCAAGCAUCUUCCCUAGUGUUCUUGAUUUUACAGAUUGCCCUUAUUCCUGGCCCUUUUGUCGUCAACCACUCUAUGCAGGUGCCAUGCCAGUUAUGUUCAAUGCUACCAUAUUGAAUGGAAUGGGUGUCAUUGGCUAUGUUAAAAGUCCACCAACAUGGCAUCCCUUGAGUGAAGAAGGAAAUCUUCUAAGCAUUCACUUUACUUAUUCAGAAGUCAUUUGGCCUUGGACUGGUUAUUUAGCACUACACAUGCAAAUUAAGGAAGAAGGCGCACAGUUUUCUGGGGAGAUCGAGGGCAAUGUAACUGCUACGAUAUACAGUCCUCCUGCGCCAGGCGAAAAGGGUCCUCGAAGUAGCACUUGUGUGCUGCAACUGAAAUUGAAGGUAGUUCCUACUCCGGCACGGUCAAAGCGGGUUUUGUGGGACCAAUUUCACAGCAUCAAAUAUCCUCCCGGAUAUAUUCCUAGAGACUCUUUGGAUGUUCGUAAUGAUAUUCUUGAUUGGCAUGGGGAUCACCUACAUACAAAUUUUCAUAUCAUGUUCAACAUGUUACGAGAUGCUGGCUACUAUGUUGAAACACUAGGUUCUCCUUUCACGUGUUUUGAUGCUCGUCAAUAUGGGACACUUCUGCUAGUGGAUCUUGAAGAUGAGUACUUUCAAGAAGAGAUUGAAAAACUGAGAGAUGACGUUAUUAGUACUGGAUUGGGGUUGGCUGUGUUUGCUGAAUGGUAUAAUGUGGAUACAAUGGUGAAAAUGAGAUUCUUUGAUGAUAAUACUCGGAGCUGGUGGACUCCUGUUACUGGAGGUGCAAAUAUUCCAGCACUAAAUGAACUUUUGGCCCCUUUUGGGAUUGCUUUUGGAGAUAAGAUCCUGAAUGGUGACUUUUCCAUUGAUGGAGAGCAAAGUCGAUAUGCAUCUGGAACUGACAUUGUGAGGUUUCCAAGAGGUGGGUAUGUGCACAGUUUCCCUUUCCUGGAUAGCUCAGAGAGUGGAGCAACGCAGAGUGUACUGCUGACUUCUGGCAUGACCAAGGCAGACACUCCAAUUCUUGGCCUUGUAGAGAUGGGUGAAGGUCGUAUUGCAGUUUAUGGAGACUCCAAUUGUUUGGAUAGCAGCCAUAUGGUUACUAAUUGUUACUGGCUUUUGAAGAAAAUAUUGGACUUCAGCAGUGCGAACACUAGAGAUCCAUUGCUCUUUUCUGAUUCUGCUAAACAAGAUGCUGCGCUUUACAUAGAUGACAACCAAUUACCUUCUCGAAGAACUGAUGUGAAUUUCUCUUUGUAUUCUGCUGUUGUGAGAAAGGAUUUGAUAUGCAGGAGUGACUCCAGAUUUGAAGUAUGGGGAACUAAAGGAUACAAUCUACACGUCAGGGGAAGGAACAGAAGACUUCCUGGCUAUUCUGUUAUAGAUUUGGGAAGAGGUUUGAAUUCUACUGUUGACACUUCCAGUUUGAGGCGCCCAAAGUUUACUGAGAAAAGUAAGGGUGACUCAUCGGGAAAUAGUUACUGGGGUAUGCUUUAUGGAGAUGAGCAUGAUAUUCCUGUGCUAGUUGCCAGUCAUUGGCUUGUACCUGUAGCAGUGUCAAUUACCGGCCUUUUAUUAUUUUUGAGCAUUUGGCGAAUCCGACAGAGGCGACGUCCAAGGAGGAGAGGAUCUGGCUCAGUUCGUUUAAGCAAUCUAUAGUUUAUGACUGAUCCUGUCAUCUGUUCCUCGCCUUCAAUAUUGUCAGAGAAGAUGAAAGCAAUUUUCCUUGAAUAUUGUUGUACGAAUUUGCCAAGUGUUGUUGCGGGCAUCAUGAUAAGAUUUAGCUUUGUAUCCAGUAGAGAUGUACAUUGCUUUUGUUUCAGAUGCUUGUAACGGCGCAAAUUUUUGAUGUUAACACUCUCUUGUAACGCUACAUUGUUUUCUCUAUCUUUUCGAGAGUAACAGAAUCAUAGAUCACUUAGAGAUACAUGAAUCUAUCCUCACAGAGCCUGCUUAUAUCAUUUGUUCCCCUUUAUACAUAGAUUUCGAGUGUUAUUACAGAUGGCUUGAGAUAAAAUUCUAUAUUUCCAAAUAAAGGUGAAAACAUGUUAAGAGGAAGAAAUUCAUCUUACCUCGAGACUAUUGCCCCAUUAUUCCCCAGUGCAACAAAUGGGAAGCUUUCAGAUUCAAAAGGGCUGGCCUGAAUGAACAAGGGACUUAGCAGUAAGAUGAAAUUAAGAGAUCGUCACAUGAUAAUGGCU